GCCUUCGGGGAGCCGCGGGCACGCGGUCGGGGCCCUUCGGCGCCGGCCUUGGCGCUUCGGAGCGGCUGUAAUCGCCCGGCCUGCAAUCCGUGCCAGGUGGCAGCCGAGCCCCGUCGGUCCCGUAGGGAAACCGAAUCGCGAUCCGGGGGCCGGGAGAAGUUCCCGCUGGCCAGAGGCAGCGCCUCUUCCCACCCGAGGGGGACUUUGGCAAAGGGCGGCCCGAGUUUCUCACCCUAUCAAGGCAGCCGCGGCCUUUGCGCUGCCUUGGCGCAGCCAGCUCUCUCCUUCCCGGGCCUGUGGGCGACCGGCGCGGGCCUCGGUGCCCGCGGGAGGGGCGUUGCGAUUCAGACCCCCGCUAAGGCGCCCCUGUCGGGCAGCGGCGGCGCUCUUUGAACCUCUUCCGAAAUCCGGCCCAGCCCGGGAGCUCGGCGGCAGCAGGAGCAGCCCUGGGUUCAGGCGGCACCUGGGGCCGGGGCUGUCCUCCCGCCAACGGCUCGCUUUGUCCUCCUCCGACCUGGGAAGGCCCGCUGCUCAGGCGUCGCUUCCCCGGGGAGCGUUUAGGAGGGAGCGGUGCAAGGGACUCAACGAGGCCGCGGCCGCGCAGGGGCGAAGUGGGCGCCCAGAGGCAGCGAAGGCCCUCGUAGCCGCCUCUUUGGUGGAGCCCCGCAAUCCCUGCUCCGGCGGGGAAGGACGGCCCUCGGGAGUGACAGGGAGCGGCGCCCCGCAAGGGAGCGAUCUGGACCCGCCGUGCAGGCCCGUCCAGAUGCUCCUCGCGGCGGAGAAUGGCCUGGCUCUUCCCGGCCUCGCUGCGCUGCCUCGGAAGAUGCAUUUUGAGCGUGAGGAAGACUCCAAGUUCAAAUGGGCGCUGAGGAAUUACAGCCGCUUCAUUCGAUCCGCCGGAUUCCGACCUCCGCCAGGCGGGAAAAGGGACUCCCAGCGAGUGCGGAGCGGUCCUUGAGGGGCGCGGGGAAAGACUUGAGGUUCAAGGAAGCCUUUUUCCCCGAACAGAGGCUCCUUUUAUUUUUCCGGUCGCUGGAGGGAAUGCCGGCGGACCCCGGGGUGGCUCCCAUCCAUCCCAGCGGAAACCGGCGCCGAUCCGUUCAGAGAAGGGGGCCUGAACCCCGCCAGGAAAUCUGGCGGACGUCUCGUCCCUUCCCCUCCCUCCCUCCCUCCCUCCCUUCCGAGAGGGGACCCUCUUGGUUGGUUGGGACCCUCCGCAGGCGCAACCCAGGAGAAGAGUGGCCCUCCCGGCCCAGCAGAGGAAGGCCGGCCCGGUUGUCAUCGGGGAACCACGGGCGGCGCCGGGCCUGCAUUCCACCCGCAGCUGGGCUGUUUCGGAAGAGAGUAAAGUGGUCGCAGAGAAAUGUAGCGCUGCGACCUUCGCUCCCGCGGGCAAAGGGGGACCUGCGAAACGGGCCGGGAAGCCUCUCCGGGCGCGUCCGGCUCCCUCUUCGCGGCCUACCGGGGGAAGUGGCUGCGAGCACAGCCUGGCACCAGCCCGCCUUCGCGCCCGACCUCCGCUGCUCGCCUCGCUUCACCCAAGAGCCCCCCCCCCCAUCGCUGGAGCCAGGGUCCCUCGUGUUUGCCCGGGAAGCUGCUCGGCCGCGGCCUGGAAGGAGCGCGCCUUCGAGGCCUCUGUUCGUCGGCCAGGAGGGCAGAGCAGGGGAGCCCUCUUCGCCGCGUCCCGGGGAAGGGGCAGAGGCGGCGCGAGGAGCCCCAACAGGGCAGCCGGGGGAGCGCUGGCCGGCCGAAGGGAUGCCGGGCGUGGACUGAGGGAGGCUCUGCCUUCCUGCCACCCUCGGGGGCCGUUGGGCUCCGCUCCUUCUCUUCCCCUUUCCGUCAACGUGAGCUGUGCCCACCCGGUUCCCUUGCCCGGUGUGCGCGACCCUCCCCACCAGCUCUCCUGGAGGAAGCGCCUCCGGGCGGCGUGCCGCGCCCCGGAGACCCUCCUGCGGGUUCGACCUCCCCUCCAGCAAGCCAGGCGCUCGGAACGGACUUGGAGGCCGCCUUCCCGGGCUCGGCCUCCACCGAGCGCGCCGCUUUCGAACCGAAGGAGCGACUCUCACUUGACCUGCUUGGGGGGUCCAGGCUGAAGGAGGCAGACCUCGCCGGCCCCGCCGAGUCCUCCCCAGCCAGGAGCCGCCCCGGGCAGAUCCAAGUGUCCCGCUGCCAGAAGGGCAGGAGACGAGCCUCCUGCAAGGCCCUGGCGGGCCAAGUGACCUUUAGACUGAGCGCCGGCCCCUCUCGGUUGCGUUAGGCAGGCGGAGAGAGCGACGCUCGCCCAGAAUUGCCAGCUCCGUCCGGACGUCGCUUCCGACCAGUGCCCGGGGGAGAGGGCGCGCUGGGAGCAAGGCCGGAGCGUUCAAAGGAAUUGGGAGCCCUUCCCCGGAGGCCCUUCUUUCCGAAUCGGGCUCUCAAAGCAGGAAAGGGCGCCUGGGCCGAAGGGCGCGUCUCAGCGCUGAGCCCGGCCAUUUCCCGGCCUUGGGGGGUCUUUAAGCCGAAGGCGCAACCAGCGAGACCCGAGCCAAACCGGAGGCAGGGCUUGUUGAACCAGCUCCCCCUCCCCACCCCUUGCGCGGGGGGGGGGCAUAAAGUCAACCACCCCCUUUCUUGGCUGGGGGUUGGCCCCACGCAAGACCGAGCCAUCUGCCAGGACAGUUCCUUGCCUUCCUUGAGGUGGGCCUGUGGGCGUCGAAUUGCUCAGCCCCGGAAAGGAGAACCCUUUAAACGGCUCCCUCUCUACCCGGGUCCCUGCUCCUCCCGCGCCCUAAAGAGAGGGAUGGGCUCUUCCUGGCCGCCAAAGGCAGCCGCAGCUCAGCCCCCGAGGCUCGGUGUCGACCCUUCCUUUCACACAAAUACAGAGAGAGAGAGAGAGACAGAAACACACACACACAAACACCGAGAACUGGGCUCCUCCUUUCCCUUCCCACAGCCUUUUCCGCGUGGAAAUGUUGGCUUCCUCCUGACUGCCACUUCCUUCACAACGUCCUGACAAGGCGGCGAGGUGUCCCAGGAGAACCUGCUCUUCCACGGGCCCUUCGCCCGGAAGCCGAAGCGGAUCCGCACCGCCUUCUCGCCCUCGCAGCUGCUGCGGCUGGAGCGCGCCUUCGAGAAGAAC